GACGAACGCUGGCGGCGUGCCUAAUACAUGCAAGUAGAACGCUGAAGACUUUAGCUUGCUAAAGUUGGAAGAGUUGCGAACGGGUGAGUAACGCGUAGGUAACCUGCCUACUAGCGGGGGAUAACUAUUGGAAACGAUAGCUAAUACCGCAUAACAGCAUUUAACCCAUGUUAGAUGCUUGAAAGGAGCAAUUGCUUCACUAGUAGAUGGACCUGCGUUGUAUUAGCUAGUUGGUGAGGUAACGGCUCACCAAGGCGACGAUGCAUAGCCGACCUGAGAGGGUGAUCGGCCACAUUGGGACUGAGACACGGCCCAAACUCCUACGGGAGGCAGCAGUAGGGAAUCUUCGGCAAUGGACGAAAGUCUGACCGAGCAACGCCGCGUGAGUGAAGAAGGUUUUCGGAUCGUAAAACUCUGUUGGUAGAGAAGAACGUUGGUGAGAGUGGAAAGCUCAUCAAGUGACGGUAACUAACCAGAAAGGGACGGCUAACUACGUGCCAGCAGCCGCGGUAAUACGUAGGUCCCGAGCGUUGUCCGGAUUUAUUGGGCGUAAAGCGAGCGCAGGCGGUUUAAUAAGUCUGAAGUUAAAGGCAGUGGCUUAACCAUUGUUCGCUUUGGAAACUGUUAGACUUGAGUGCAGAAGGGGAGAGUGGAAUUCCAUGUGUAGCGGUGAAAUGCGUAGAUAUAUGGAGGAACACCGGUGGCGAAAGCGGCUCUCUGGUCUGUAACUGACGCUGAGGCUCGAAAGCGUGGGGAGCAAACAGGAUUAGAUACCCUGGUAGUCCACGCCGUAAACGAUGAGUGCUAGGUGUUAGGCCCUUUCCGGGGCUUAGUGCCGCAGCUAACGCAUUAAGCACUCCGCCUGGGGAGUACGACCGCAAGGUUG
rnacentral:rRNA from 1 species